UACGUAGGGACCAAGCGUUGUUCGGAUUUACUGGGCGUAAAGGGCGCGUAGGCGGCAAUUCAAGUCAGCUGUGAAAUCUCCGGGCUUAACUCGGAACGGUCAGCUGAUACUGCUUUGCUAGAGUGCAGAAGGGGCAAUCGGAAUUCUUGGUGUAGCGGUGAAAUGCGUAGAUAUCAAGAGGAAGACCAGUGGCGAAGGCGGGUCUCUGGACAGUUCCUGACACUGAGACACGAAGGCCAGGGGAGCAAACGGG
rnacentral:rRNA from 1 species